CUAGUCAGUACUUCUAAAACAUCUUUUGUAUCAAUCCAUUCAUCCCUCUUGUUCCAAAAACAGCACCAAAUUCAUUAAUCAGUAUAAAUAAAACAUCAACGAAAAUUUAAGCAUAUGAAUCAAUAAAAUCUACAAGAAAAUGAUGCCAUAUUCUCACCUGGUUUAUGAAACAAAAGUCUCAUAUCAGCUCCCACAACUUUCCAGGGCUUGAGCUGACAAGAUAACUAUAGCUUCCUUGAAACUCUUCGAUUUAAACAUUGUCGAGAUCCUUAUCCAACACACUCAGCAUACUCUAUCACCACUUUCUCCACUGCACAGUGAAACUGUAUGCAGCGAAGUCAUUGUAGUUCAGGCCCACCUUCUCAAUUCUUUUUCCCUGUGAGCUUCCAUGUUCGUCAUCACAUGUUAAGCACAGAAAGCCUCAGUACUCACUUGGCCUGCUGGUGUAUGACUCAUAAUAGAAUGGUAAGCCUGAUGCAUUGAUGUUGGACUUGGACGAUAUACGUGAAUUGUGAAGUAUAUUCAUUCUCUUGCAAAAUUGCAAUGGCACCAAUGCUAUGGAUGAGAAUAGAGAAGCAAGAUGGGAUGUGUGCAGUGACGAAUCUAGGAUUUUGAAUCAGCACGAGUGGCCGUUGAUUGUCGACCGUCAGCUACAAUAAAGUAUUAAGAGCCCGUUUGAUAUCUUUUUUUUUUUUAAACAAAAAAUGCAUUUCUAAAUAGUGAUUUCAUGGAGAACGUGAGGUUAAAAAUAAGGAAAAAAGUUUUGAAUUUGAGCGUAACUUUAUUGAAGAAUGCAUGGUUAAAAAUAAGAUAAAUAGAAA
rnacentral:lncRNA from 1 species